rnacentral:lncRNA from 1 species
CGCCCCCGUGGAAUGCCGCGGGCGGCCGGUUCCGCGCGACCCCCGCCCCUUCCCGGACUCCCCAGCCGAGGCGAGGGGCGGGGGCGCUGGGGACCCCGAGAGAGGGCGUGGGGGAUUGACGGAGGAGCGCUGAGAUCUCCAGCAUUCCCGGACUCGGACUGCUUGCUGAGGCUGCAGUCGAGAUUUGGGGCUGUCUCGUCUUUCCGGCCAAGUCGACAGCAGAAGGCAUGAGUAACCUGAAGCCAUGGAAACCCCAUUGGAACGUCUUUUCAUGGCUGAAUAUGAAGGCAGCUCAGACCGAGAAGACUGGUGCCCACCGCUCGCCUCCGGGCAUCCCUCCUGGCGGAGUUGGGAAGUCUGGGAUCCUUCGCCUCUCUCUCUGAUCGUGCGGAGCCAUAGCUGCAGAAGCAGCAGCUCUGCCCCCUGCUGGACACGUGAGGCAGCCCGCACUUUUCCUGUUCCAGAUGCAGCGCCCUUGUGGUGCUGGGGGGAAGAGAUUUUUUGGCUCACUCUGAUGGAAACAGCAAAACUGGGCGGAAUAAAAAUCCCAGGUUUUUUUUCUCUCUAGUUUAUUUCUGAGGAUCUGAUCUAUUUGGAUGCAGAAAACAUUUCUGUUGUUUCUCUUGCCUGGACGGCUUUUUUCCUUCCUGCUAGCCAAACCCGGCCCCUUUCAAGCCCUGUUUCAGAGUCCACCUCCUCCAAAACGCCCUUUCUGACUCUCCUCUCCUAUGUGAAUGUUUUGAAAUACAGCUAUGCACAGACCCGGCCCACGGAGUGCACACUCACAUACUGGCUUUACUGUUGUGUCCUUGAGGGUGGGGGCCAGGUUUGUGUGGCCUUUGUGUUCACAGACCCCGCCCGUAAGGUCCAGCACAGAGCUGGGGAUGAAACCUGCUG